rnacentral:lncRNA from 1 species
CAAAGAGAAGAAAAGCAACUCGGAGAUAAGAAACUCCACACCCUUUUGAGGAGAGAACUUGACAUCUGAAUUUUCAUGUUUGUGUUCUUUGAACAAACAUCAUUAAAGCAUACCAAAUCUACACCCAGUAAAAGUUUUGGAUGAAGACAGACAAAAAUGUGAAUGGACUACAAUGGAAGAUGCACAGACAUAUAUUAACCAGGUACAG